rnacentral:tRNA from 1 species
UCCGGGAUCGUCUAAUGGUAGGACGCCUGACUCUGGAUCAGGUAAUCUUGGUUCGAAUCCAAGUCCCGGAG